rnacentral:piRNA from 4 species
UCUCACUACUGCACUUGACUAGUCUUU